CUCCGCGUGACACAACCCUGCCUCGCGUCCCCUCAUGACUCCCCUUCCCCGAGCCGUGGAAAGUCGAGUCAUCUGCACGGACUUGGGCGACAAAAGCAACUCAACUCAACUCAGCGCAACACAACCACCGCUGAGCAACUUCGUCAUAGCCAAGUGUUGAAGGGGUGUGGAGGACGAAUGCAAGCGGCGAGGGCGAAGUCAACGUGUUCCCGUGAGGCUCCACCUUCUCUUCUGUAUCGGUAAGUACCACGCACAUCUCAUCGCGGGACGUCGUGGGACCUCGCGGGAGCACCAGUUAGCAAGACAUCUUUAACCCCCGCCAGGAAAGUAGACUAAUGUGCCUUUCUAUUCUCUCUCUCCUCCUUCCGCGCCGCUCUCAGGAAGCAUUACUCGGGCGCUGCGCUUCAUCCCUCUCUCCUUCCCUUUCACCGUGUACUCAUUUUUGUGCGCCUCUUCCCUCUCCUCGCCUUUCCCUUCAGAAGCAGAUUCUUUUUUUUUGUUUGUUUGUUUGUUUUGUUUGUUUUGCUCUCCUUUGCUUUGCUUCUCUAACUCCUCUUGUUCCG